rnacentral:snoRNA from 1 species
UGGUAAUGAUGAAGACUUUUUUGCCAUCAUUCGCGGUUUCCACCAGAGACAGUCAGUCUCAGACUGUCAGAGAUGGUCUUAGUCCUUCCUUGGAAGUCUGAGCCA